rnacentral:rRNA from 1 species
AUUGAACGCUGGCGGCAUGCCUUACACAUGCAAGUCGAACGGCAGCGGACCUUCGGGUGCCGGCGAGUGGCGAACGGGUGAGUAAUAUAUCGGAACGUACCUUUCAGUGGGGGAUAACGCAGCGAAAGUUACGCUAAUACCGCAUAUUCUGUGAGCAGGAAAGCAGGGGAUCGCAAGACCUUGCGCUGAUUGAGCGGCCGAUAUCAGAUUAGCUAGUUGGUGAGGUAAAGGCUCACCAAGGCGACGAUCUGUAGCGGGUCUGAGAGGAUGAUCCGCCACACUGGAACUGAGACACGGUCCAGACUCCUACGGGAGGCAGCAGUGGGGAAUUUUGGACAAUGGGCGCAAGCCUGAUCCAGCCAUGCCGCGUGAGUGAAGAAGGCCUCGG